rnacentral:rRNA from 1 species
AUGCUAAUUGCUCAGAUUGAGGGGAAGAUCAGUCGGCUGCACCAAGGUGACGACAUGUCAGUGAUGGCAUAUGUGGCAGAACUGCAGGCUUUGUGGGCGGAGCAGGAUAACUGCGAUCCUCUGGAACUCUAUGAUGCCGCUUGCAUCGAGUCAGGGCGCAAGUGGAUUGCACGCAGGCGUGUGUUGAAACUGUUGGAAGGGCUCAAAGGUUGCUUUCAUGGAAGGGGGGCAUCCCUGUUACACCAACCUCUCCUGCCAACUAUUGAGGAGACUAUUGCAACAAUGUCUCAAGAGGAGGUGAGGCUAUCUCUUGAGCAUGCAGACAUGAAGGCUGUGCCGGCUUCGACAUUUGCUGUCACUGAGCGCAUGGAGUGGGGAGAUCCCAACAAAUGUCAUGUUUGUGGGGAGAUAGGUCACUGGAAGAGGGAAUGUCCAACUCGUGGCAGAGGCAGGGGAUACAACAGAGGGUGGACUGGCAGAGGUAGGCAUGCUAGAGGCAGAGGUGGAUACCUAGGGAACUCGGGGCAACUUUCUAGGGGCAGAGGUGGCUACUCAGGAAACUCAGGGGGGCAGAGGGUACAUAUGGUAGUUGAAGGGGACACCGGGACGUCAAAGGGCAAGGAAGUUGACGAGGCUGCCUAUGGAGACUUUGCUCAUUGGGCCUCCACUGAUGAAGGUAAUCCGACAAAGUGCUCUCAUUGA